CAGGCAUGUGCCACUGUACCUGACAUAGGAAUUUUUAAAAGAAGGCUUCUUAUAAACAGCUUUGACCUGCUCCUUAAAGGACAAUUAAUAUUUAUUUUGUGGCAAAGGAGUUGGUAAAGGACUUUUCUAGAGAGGAACUGGCAUGACCAAAACUUGGAGGUGGAAUGACUAAGGUGUAUUCAGGUGAAAGAUGAGCAGACCCAGUAGUAGGUGCUGCUGGUAUUUAGCAAUUAGGUAUGAAGUCAAAUUUAAGAGAUUCAGAGGCACAUUAUGGAGAUCUUUGAAUGUUGGGAUAAAUACUAGUCCAGCUGGUUAAGGGGAAACAAUUCAAGUUUACUUUACUGAAGGGUACACUUCUGCUUUUUAUAUUAAAAAAGGCUUCUACGUAUGCUGAUAACAAACGUGCAGAAACAGCAAUUUUAAAAAUGUAUAAUUGCUCCAAAGAAUAUGAAACAUAGUCCCACUGAGUUACCCAGUCUGGCCUCAAACCUGCAGCCCUCCUGCCUCAGCAUCCUGACUAGCUAGCAUCCUGACAGGAACCAUGCCUAGCAUCAUCAUUUUACUCACAGCAACAUGGUCCUCAGCGUCAGCCUACGCCUCGGUCUCCUUGGGAACCUUGUUGCCCGUGG